UGGAAUGACAGCUUCAAAACGCCUCCUGCAUGGAGAAACUAGUCGCAUGCAUUGCUCUGGAAUGAUUUUGGCCCAUUCCUCCACACAAGCAGUCUUCAAAUCUUGAAGGUUACGUGGGUUUCUUCUAUGAACUGAGUUUCAGUUCUUUCUAUAGAUUUUCGAUUGGAUUCAAGUCAGGUGACUGGCUGGGCCAUUCUAGCAGCUUUAUUUGUUUCCCCCUUUGAAAGCAAAUGAGGGUUUCCUUGGCAGUAUGUUUUGGAUCAUUGUCCUGCUGAAAUGUACACCUUUGUUUCAUUUUCAUCACCCUCGUAGAUUGCAGUAGAUUUUUGUCAAGAAUGUCUCUGUACAUUUGCCCAUUCAUACUUCCCUCAAUAAUAGGUUUACCAGUACCAUUUGCUGAAAAUCAGCCCCACACCAUCAUGUUUCCACCUCCGAACUUGACUGUUGGUAUGGUGUUUUUAGGGUGAUGUGCAGUGCCAUUUCUCCUCCAAACGUGGUGUGCAUUAUGGCACCCAAACUGCUCCAUCCGACCAGACUAUAUUCUCCCAGUAUUUAAAUGGCUUGUCCAAAUGUUGUUCAGCAAACUUUAAACGAGCUUUGACAUGCUUUUUUUCAGCAACAGGGUCUUGCGUGGUGACCGUGCAUACAGCCUAUGGCUGCGGAGUACAUUAUUCACUGUUUUCCUUGUGACAACAGUACCUGCUAAUUGCAGGUCUGUUUGAAGCUCUCCACAGGUGGUCCUUGCCUCUUGGACAACUCUUCUGAUUAUUCGUUGCACUCCUCUCUCAGAAAUCUUGCAAGGAGUACCUGAUCGAGGCAAAUUUAUGGUGUUUUUAGGGUGAUGUGCAUUUCCAUUUCUCCUCCAAACGUGGUGUGCAUUAUGGCACCCAAACUGCUCCAUCCGACCAGACUAUAUUCUCCCAGUAUUUAAAUGGCUUGUCCAAAUGUUGUUCAGCAAACUUUAAACGAGCUUUGACAUGCUUUUUUUCAGCAACAGGGUCUUGCGUGGUGACCGUGCAUACAGCCUAUGGCUGCGGAGUACAUUAUUCACUGUUUUCCUUGUGACAACAGUACCUGCUAAUUGCAGGUCUGUUUGAAGCUCUCCACAGGUGGUCCUUGCCUCUUGGACAACUCUUCUGAUUAUUCGUUGCACUCCUCUCUCAGAAAUCUUGCAAGGAGCACCUGAUCGAGGCAAAUUUAUGGUGGUAUGAUUGGCUUUAUACUUACGUGUUAUGGUCCCAACCGUGCUCACUGGAACGUUCAGACGCUUAGAUAUGUGCCUGCAACCAAUGCCAUCGUUAUGUUUUGCAACAAUUACUUUGCAAUGGUCUUGAGAAAGCUCUUUUCUCUUACCCAUCAUGAGAUGUGUCUUGACUCAUACCUUGGCAAUGAGACCUUUUUGUAGGCCAUCAAUUAGGACUGAAUCAGCUGAUAUUCAUUUGCACUGACAAGGGGCUGGAUUGCUAUUUGAUUAUUCAUAGAUUUUAGGUGUUUUAUUGGCUUUCCAUGCCUUUUUGCACCUUCCUUUCUUCAUGUGUUCAAUACUUUUUCACUGUGUCAUUUCACAUUUUUACACAACUUAAUUUCUGAUCUUAUUUGUUCUCCUUUGAAUGUAUGGAUUACUUGGGUUGUUCCCAACAUCUGGUGUAAUUUCCAGGUCAAUAGUACCUUUGAAAGUAUACUUAGUGAGAAAAAUGGUGAAGUGUUAAAUACUUAUUUCAACAGCUGUAUAUCGAAUGUUGGUUUGGUCAUACUAUAGAAUAAUUAAUUUCUUGUGUUUGCUGAAGAUAAACUUCCUUCCGAAAAAUCACAUGCUAAAUCGCAAUCACAAUAUUUGUUCAAAAGAAAGAAAGAAACAAAAAAAAACUAAUAAUUAGAGUAUUUUCCCAAAUUGUUCAGCUCUACUCCUGGUUGAUGACGGGACAGUUUUAAUUGGGCCCACAUUGUUGAAGCUUAUCAUUGUUGAAGCUUAUCGGCUUCCCAUUGAAGAGGACUGGAUAAGUGUAGCUAAAGCUUUAGCUACACAAACAUUCGUGAUGUUAUGGCCAACUACCAACAAGUGUGGCUAAUGAAGGGACGAACAACACUGGUGCGUCAGCGCUGUGCAGAGUGCACAAGAGUGAAACCUCGUAUUGGUGCGUGUAUCGCUUUAAGAAAAAAAAAUCAUUUGAUUAAUACAGGAAGUGUGUCGUUUGGAUGUGCCGCGCCAAAUUGUGUUUAUAAGGAAGCAAACUGUGUCGACAUGUUGCGGAUUUGUUGGAUGGAGUUUUGCUUGCCCUCACCUUGUUCCAGUGACUUCAUGGAUCGUUCCAAGUUAUCCCCACUCUGGAAUCAUUUUGAUCUUUUGAUGCCACAUACGGUGAAGUAUCGGCUCUGCUCCACAGAGCUAUCUUACAUCAAUAAGAGCACUUCAUCAAUGCUGAGGCAUUAGAGCUCGGCAUGGCAAUGAAGAAUUGGCAGAUACUCGUGUAGUACCCCAGUUCCUAACAAGCAAGCAGUGGAUGAGGCUGUGGUCAACAUGAUCAUCAAAGAUUGUCAGCCACUCACCAUUGUUGAAAAUGAGGGAUUCAGGGAGCUCCUGAAACUUAUCAACUCGCACUUAAAUUUUUAUGCUCAUCGUCUUCAUCUGUACCCUGUGAAAGAGUUUUUUCUAAGGCAGGGGAACUGGUGUCUAAGAGGAGAAAUCACCUUGGACCAAAGACACUUAAAAAACUUUUGUUCCUCAAUAAAAAUGCA